rnacentral:rRNA from 1 species
UACGGGGGGGGCAAGCGUUGUUCGGAAUUACUGGGCGUAAAGGGCUCGUAGGCGGCCAACUAAGUCAGACGUGAAAUCCCUCGGCUUAACCGGGGAACUGCGUCUGAUACUGGAUGGCUUGAAUCCGGGAGAGGGAUGCGGAAUUCCAGGUGUAGCGGUGAAAUGCGUAGAUAUCAGGAGGAACACCGAUGGCGAAGGCAGGUCUCUGGGCUGACACUGACGCUCAUGCACGAAAGCGUGGGGAGCAAACAGG